rnacentral:rRNA from 1 species
AUUGCACGCUGGCGGCAGGCCUAACACAUGCAAGUCGAGCGAGCGGCGGACGGGUGAGUAAUGUAUGGGGACUGCCCGAUAGAGGGGGAUAACUACUGGAAACGGUAGCUAAUACCGCAUACUAUCGGAUAACCCAUAGGGGAUUAGCUAGUAGGUGAGGUAAUGGCUCCACUCGGCGACGAUCCCUAGCUGGGCUGAGAGGAUGAUCAGCCACACUGGGACGGAGACACGGCCCAGACUCCUACGGAGGCAGAAGUGGGGAAUAUUGCACAAUGGGCGAAAGCCUGAUGCAGCCAUGCGGCGUGUAUGAAUAAGGCCCUAGGGGUGUAAAGUACUUUCAGUCGGGAGGCGUUACCGACAGAAGAAGCACCGGCUAACUCCGUGCCAGCAGCCGCGGUAAUAC